CAGGCCUAACACAUGCAAGUCGAACGGUGGCAGCAAUGUCAUAGUGGCGCACGGGUGCGUAACACGUAACUAACCUGCCCAGACCUGGGGGAUAGCCCGCCGAAAGGCGGAUUAAUACCGCAUAAGAUAAUAAGGUGGCAUCACCUAGUUAUUAAAGAUUUAUCGGGUUUGGAUGGGGUUGCGGGUCAUUAGCUAGUUGGUUGGGUAACGGCUGACCAAGGCGACGAUGACUAGGGGAGCUGAGAGGCUGGUCCCCCACACGGGCACUGAGAUACGGGCCCGACUCCUACGGGAGGCAGCAGUAGGGAAUAUUGGGCAAUGGGCGAGAGCCUGACCCAGCCAUGCCGCGUGCAGGAAGAAGGCUUUCUGGGUUGUAAACUGCUUUUACCCAGGGAAGAAAACGCUCCUGCGGGGUAACUGACGGGACCUGGUGAAUAAGCACCGGCUAACUCCGUGCCAGCAGCCGCGGUAA
rnacentral:rRNA from 1 species